rnacentral:misc_RNA from 1 species
UAAGGCAAUGCAAAUAGAGUUUCAGAUGAACCCUUGAUGGGUUGAAGUGCCGUCCCGGUGACUGUCACCGAGGGUCAAGAGAUGGUUUCAGAUGAACCCUUGAUGGGUUCGAGUUCGCCGAUAAGACGAGUGCUGCAAGUCGGAGUGACGGGUUUCACAUGAACCCUUGAUGGGUUGAAGCGCUACUCGUGCAAGGGGUUAUGUGAUGAGAUCGCUAGUUUCCAGACGAACCUUUGUUGGAUUGAAGC